CCUACGGGAGGCAGCAGUGGGGAAUAUUGGACAAUGGGGGGAACCCUGAUCCAGCCAUGCCGCGUGUGUGAAGAAGGCCCUCGGGUUGUAAAGCACUUUCAGUGAGGAAGAACGCCUGGUGGUUAAUACCCAUCAGGAAAGACAUCACUCACAGAAGAAGCACCGGCUAACUCCGUGCCAGCAGCCGCGGUAAUACGGAGGGUGCGAGCGUUAAUCGGAAUUACUGGGCGUAGAGCGCGCGUAGGUGGCUUGAUAAGCCGGUUGUGAAAGCCCCGGGCUCAACCUGGGAACGGCAUCCGGAACUGUCAAGCUAGAGUGCAGGAGAGGAAGGUAGAAUUCCCGGUGUAGCGGUGAAAUGCGUAGAGAUCGGGAGGAAUACCAGUGGCGAAGGCGGCCUUCUGGACUGACACUGACACUGAGGUGCGAAAGCGUGGGUAGCAAACAGGAUUAGAUACCCGAGUAGUC
rnacentral:rRNA from 1 species